rnacentral:miRNA from 1 species
GCCGCCUGGCCUGGGCUGGCCUGGGCUGGGCAGCAGUGCGC